rnacentral:rRNA from 1 species
AGCAGUAGGGAAUCUUCGGCAAUGGACGAAAGUCUGACCGAGCAACGCCGCGUGAGUGAAGAAGGUUUUCGGAUCGUAAAACUCUGUUGGUAGAGAAGAACGUUGGUGAGAGUGGAAAGCUCAUCAAGUGACGGUAACUACCCAGAAAGGGACGGCUAACUACGUACCAG